rnacentral:lncRNA from 1 species
ACAGAGACUGGUUCAAGGGAGAUUCGGACACAUCUCCACCUCCAAAGCCAAGUGCCUUCCCGGGAUGAUCUGCAUAACAAUUUGCGGGUGCUGGUGGUGGAGAAGCUCCGGGAAGAGAAAACUAGCCGGACGGUAUCGAACCGCCCGCAGGCCCGUCGCAGCUCCAUUAAUGCAACUACCAUUACACUAAGUAUCUCCUAUAGGGCUCUUCAAACUGUGGUCAACUUAGUAAAUGAUGUUGACAGUGGAAGUGUGAUCAUUUUAUUUUCCUGCCUUUGGAAUUGAAGAUUGUAAUUUUGCAAAAAUUUUGUUGAAGAUGAUGUAGCUUUGGUUCAGAGAGUUCCAAGUCUCUUCUUCGGCCUCUCAAACAUGGUACCAUCCCUAAUGAAGUCAACGGGUCCAGCAUGACAGGAUGGAAGUACAAGUGUCAGCACCUAUGUAAAGUGAACAGAGUUAUCUGUGACAUUCCAUCAGGCACCUAUGUAACGAAAUCAUACCGUAAUAACUCACCAUGGCGUAUGGAGUGCCAAGAAAGAACACAGUGAAAACCAUUUUGCGGGGCAGUUGUUAUAAUGUGAACCUUGGGAUAUUGCAUUGCUUGCAAAGACCUGGUCCACAAACCUAGCCAAUAUCAAGUUGCCUUUCUUGGAAGAAAUUUCAUUUGGUGGUUCUGUGCAGCUCACAAAAUGUACCACCAUUAAAGAUGGA